UCUAUCUUGCUAGUAAUCAAGGAUCUUUGCUUUGGCUGCACGCUUGUCACUACGGCAACGACAUUAUUUAGAAUUUAUUUACUUUUGAAGGAACUAGGCUACAGUAAAGUCUUGGAUACGGUGCUACUUUGUAGCUCAGGAAUAGUAAUUCUUACGGAGAACAAGGCUACUUGUAUAGCUCUCACGGUGCUACUUUGUAGAUUAAGGACACGACUCUUACGGAGAACAAGGCUUAUCAUAUAGCUCUUACGGUGCUACUUUGUAGCUAAAGGAACUGGUUCUUAAGGAUAAAUCUUAGCACUCAGCUGGAACGGGAACAAGCUCUGAAAUAAAGAAACCAUCAGUACGCUACAACUGUCCGGCUGGAGUUUUCUACAGUAAGAGCUUGACCCUCAUCGAUUCUGACGACAGUCUGAUGUUCUACAGUGCUGUGACGGCUUGGUGUCCACAAGGAAAGGUCUACACGGUGUGUCUGCCUGCCACAACUCUAAUGGACGGUUCUUCGUGGAGCAGAGCACUUUCGGAAGACUCACAUCUAAUCAGCUAACGUUAUUCAGACAGCAAUUAGCCUACUGGGAGUCGGUGCAACGGUCAAGAACUGUUUUAGCCUACACAUCUUCGCGGCAUUGAACUGUGAGUAACCUACAGUACAUUCAAUAAGGUGAUCAAAGGAUUCACAUUUCGGAUUGAGAGAGAACGGCUCUCCCCCCCAAUCAAGCGAAACGGAAUUGUCGCGAAGGAUCUGUCGCUUACACAAUUACAGACAGGCACACACUCACACGCGUUGGCUAUAUACUGAUUUGCAUUCACAAAAGAAAAGGACUCUUGCAAUUGAAAACAAUUUUUGCAUGUUUUCUUGUUUGCAUAUUUUCCAUUGUAUUAAUUUUCACAUCAUCAGUAAUCAGAGAGUUUACAUACUACUUCAAUGCUAUAAUUGUUUUAUGGUGAUAAUCUAAUAAUAAUAUAGAUAAACAGUAUUUUAUUGAGACCUCAAUAUUAGCCUAUUAAGGGUUUUUUUUCUAUUCAUCUAAUUGAAAAUUUAAGUCAUAAUGCCAGUAUCAGAUGGUGUAGGGGAGUUGGGAGAUCAGGUGGCUUGUGUCCUGCAUGGAACAGAGGACUCGCAGAAUAUACCCCAUCCAGACGCAGAAACAUCUGAAGGACUAUGGAGGCAAGUAAUGAAAACAAAACAACAAAGUCUGAAUGAUCACCAGGUACAACUUCGGAGAGAUGAUUUGCCACCAGAGGAUCUUCGACACUCUGAACAUACACAAAAUCCCACAGAGAACAUGACUGGACAUCAAGAUGAAGAGGCCAAGACAAGGCUACUCGCUAUUUAUGAAAAGUGGAAGAUUCAAGCACGCACAGCAAAACAACAACUGAAGUCAUUCAUGCCAAAGAAUCAGCUGUGGCCACUCAUUGAUGAACUCAAGAGAGGUAGAGAAAACAUAAAGCAAGUAUACUCUGACAUAAAAAGGCUCAUGGCACCAUCUAUUGAAUUAACAAGACGAGUUGACAUGUGAAUCAGUAACAACAGAUAUUAUCAUAAUUGCUUAUAGAAUGCUAGACACUGAAAGCGAGUUUAAUGCGAGAGAUAACAGAUACUGCCUUCAUGACUUGCCUAGCCAUGAUAAUGCAUUUUCUGUCUAUGGAUCUGCUCCCUCGUUGGUAAAUGACAACACAUCUAACCGUCAUUCGGUGAUAUCAUCAAUGGCGGCCAAACGUACAGAAGCAGCAGCAGAAUUGGCAGCAAAAGAAACUGAGUAUGAGAUGAUGCUCAAAGAACACAAACAAAGAGAGUUGAUACAAGAGCUGGAGGAAACUCAACGAAAAGAACUGGAGGUCCAACGCGUCGUACUCUGAAACGACUGCAGGCAGAAAGGGAGUUGAAAGUCGCUCAAGCCAAGCUGGAAGUCUACAACAAGGAGACUGUUGCUGAUCCCAAAGGAAGUGAGCAUGGAACAAAGAUCACAUCUUUACCUGUCACUGUCCCUCUGUCUCAUUCUGCAACGCCCCUUCAGUCUGACACCCCUUCACUUGCCCAGGUUUUACAAGACAAUCUAACUUUGAACAGGCUUCCAGUUUCAGAACCAUUAAUGUUCAGUGGUGAUCCUAUGCAAUGUAUGGAAGGCCUGUUAAUAGGUAACAACUGUUCCAGAAACGAGGAGCCCUAUGCUGUGAAGACAGACUUGGGAUGGAGCAUUGCAGGACAGCCAUCACAAGGUCCUGGCUCAUUGAACAUAAGUCGUUUCUGUCAAAGAAUCAAUGCCAAUGAAAUGCCUCCAACAACUUCUACUAAUGCCAUUCACCUUCUGGAGCCUGACUUCAAAAAUUGCAACAGAGAUACAACAAAGAUUUCACAAGAUGACAUCAACUUUCCCAACAAGCUAGAUGAAGUUAUAAGGAAGAACACACACAGUCAUUAUGAUAUGCCUCUACCCUUCAAAGACAGACCAAGCCUGCCAGAUAACAAAGUAUCCAUGUUGGCCAAGAAACGCCUCGAUCAUAUUAGGAGAAAGACCUGCAUAGAGAAAUGCAUUAAAACCUGCAUAAAGAAACACAUAAUGAGAAAGAGAAGGAGACAGACAUGCACAAAAAGGAGGAGAGGACAAACAUUCUUAAAGAGAAAGAGAAGAAAGACCUGCAUAGAGACAUGCAUUAAGAUCUGCAUAAGGAAACACAUAAUGAGAAAGAGAAGGAGACAGACAUGCACAAGAAGAAGAAGAAGGAGACAUUUUUCUCUAAACAUUCUUAAAGAGAAAGAGGAGAAAGAGAUGCAUAACUAAGAGUUAGCGCCACCAUAAGAUGUCUGAAGUUGAGUGUCCAAUCCAGAAGCUUGUCCUCCUGCUGGAUACUGGCUAAUCUGACUUCCUCUCCCUAAAACCAUCUAUCCCCAUUAGUGUUUCCCUUUAAUAUUGUUUGGGUAAUAUUUUUAGUCAUUUUCAAGUUUAAAUCAUUGAUCACUCCCAUUGUCCCAUUAAUCACUCAUGAUUGGUGGGAGUGUAAAUAAACAUGUCUUGUUUAUUUGUUUUUGUUUAAAUAUACCUGUUGUUUAUUUGUUUUUGUUUAAUUUCAAUUCAUAUGUAUCAUUUAUAUUUGACUUAAAAUUCCAUUGGUACAGUAGCCUACAUAAGACAUUCCACAAGGUGCAUUCUAAGCAAAGAUUCUAGAGCGCUCCGCCAACCAUCAGAAACCAUCAGUACGCUACAACUGUCCGGCUGGAGUUUGCUACAGAACUUGUCUAACAAAUGCUGUUGAUAUUGAACCCAGUUACUCCAUUUCCUUUACUUAUGCCACACCAAUGUCUGUUCAUCAAACUUUAUUUUUGAUGGCA